GCACUGGAACAGCUCGCUUCUUCCAGCCUGGAGGGAGAAGUCGCAGGGGGAGGGGCAAGGGAACAGCUCGGCUUCUUCCAGCCUGGAGGGAGAAGUCGCAGGGGGAGGGGCACUGGAACAGCUGCCUCCCCACUGCUCCCCUCCCAGCCUUGGGGUGGGGGUUAAAGGACCAGCUUCCUCCCUUUAGUCCUCUCGCCACACAGCGUGGACAGAAUUGGUGGGUGUCACCCCCAUUGCCCUGCUCUCAGGGAGAGGGGUCACAAUACCCUCUGAACCUGGGGGCUGAGGAGGUUUGAGCCCCCUUCCCGCAGCAAGGAGUGAUGGCAUUGGAAGGUCUUUGGUCACCAGAGAAACCCACCUCCAUGACUGGACUCGGCACCAGGCCUCCAUCCUCCAGGCUUCAUGUCUGGCCUCUGGUAGCCUGGGGUCCACGGGGGGGCCUAAGUGUUUUGUCUCUGGCUUCAACACCUGGACUCAACACUUGGCCUCCUUUCCCUGCCUUCGGCAUCUGGACUUGAUACCUGGUGUCCAUGUCUGAUUUCUGUCUCAGCUUCAAAUAUCUGGCCGCAGCCUCUGGUCUGAACAUCUGGCUGAAACAUCUGCUCUCUAAGCCACCCGACUGCAGCCUGCAUUUGACCUCAGCAUAUGCCGUCGACAUCUGGCACAGAACCACUAAGACGCCUGCUGCUACCCAGUUUGUUCGAGCCAUUCUUGCCCCAUUGUGCACUACGCUUACACAGAGCAGGUCUGUGCUCCUGUCUGGUGGCUGGAGUUUGAGCUAAGAGACCCUGAGCUAAAGAAUCCUAAAAUAGGGGAUUCAUAAACUGCUAUAUGUGGACUAACCACGAGAGGGAGCCGAAAGCCACAAUGUCUACUAAUGGUGGUAACAGUACCCCCAUCACCAAGAGCUAAAAGCUGCCCUCGCGGCGAAAGCUCAUCCCAACUUUCAGAGUUCCACUGCGGCUCAAAUCCUCAAAUGGACCAUCUCUUCGGACAAAUCUCACCUGGGAAGGAGCCACUGGGGGGGACUGAACCCUGGCUAGCUACAUCUGAAAUCAUGCAAGAGCUGAAAGAGUUAUAUUUGUUUGCGCAAAGUCAGUUGCUGACUAAUACACCUGUAUGUUGUCCUGCUGCUAGAGGGCACACAGCCACACAGGGUAGGUAUGGGUUACACCUUCAUUUUUUUUAAGAUUUGAUAGUGGACUCUAGCCUUUGUAGGCACAUUUUUGGCAUGGCUUCUUGAGGAUUUGGGAAUCUGCCCAUGCAGUUCAUGAAUUCUGUGUGAGCUUAUGAACUGUCCAUCUGUACCUUUAUUAGAUCGCAAACCCCAUUUUGAAUGGGGGGGGGGGGCGGGUCUUCUCUGUGAUCUUGUCUCCAUGGUAGACUGAAAGUCCAAGGUGUAAUGAUACAGCACUGACAGAGGGUCAUUAAAUUGGGAUGGUCCCCUAUGGAAAUAAAGACUGGCUCCCAACCUGGGGGAUCAGUUUGUCAGGGGAGUGGUCCACUGGCAAUGAAAUUGCCUGAGGAAACAGAUCCAAGAGUCACCUGACAGGGAUGGGAAGAUUAGAAAGGCAGGAGUUGAUCUAUUUGGGGUCUUUGGCUGUUGUCACCAGUUCAAGCCGAGGGGAAGUGAUGCAGGAGCCUGAUGAGGCAGGGGAACCCUGCCUACCUGAAGUCGGAUGGUUCCCAAAGGAUUCCCAAGGGAAGGGUGAGCCAGAGUGAGGGGCAAUGUGUUUAGGAUGUUUGUGGGUUUAGAUAUGAGCUGCUCUCUCUGUCUAUUUCUUGUGCUUAAGUAAAGUGCAAUAGUAUUUUAGAAUCCUAUGCAAAGUGUCUCUCUCCAUGUUACGUGUUUCACCUCAUCAUGGGCCCCCUGGGAGAGUUAAACUGGAAGGCUUCUAUCUUCAGUGGGAUUCUGGAAGAGGGUGAGUUUAAGCUACAGGGGAGUCAGAGGAGUCAGCACUGAUUCUAGCAACUGGGUGGUUGGACCCCCUGGCUGCAAUUCUCAGGAGGGGGUGCUAGAUAGAUCAGCCCCCUGGGAGUGUGCAUAAGGACCCCAAGACAGAGCCAGUGUCUGGGCUCAUGUCUAUUCAGACUCUGGAGGCUUGAAAGACAUGGAAACCAGUGUCUGGGUCCCCUCACAGCAGUCUGGUGGGGCACUGGAUCAGAGCUUUGACAGCUUCCUAACAGGUUGUUUGGAAGUGGCUGCUUCUGUGCUCACAAUCCAGUAGAGUCAUGAGAACGUGGAGAGGGGUUCAGGAAGAGUUGCCACUUUUAUUUCCAGCAGCAUUUGACACGUUAGUGGAAUGACCAAACAGAGCAGCCCUGCCCCCAUCUGCUUUGCAAAAUAUUGCUCUGUUGCCCUAGGCUGGGAUUCUCAGACAGACCGAAGGAAAUUAGGAUUCUUUGCAAAUCCCAACCCCGGUGUCUUUUGGGGGAAGAGAUUUUGUGUCUCACAUGAAGGAUAGAAGGUGACAGUCCGGAUGUAGGGAGCUGGGCUGGAUGAGGCAGAGAAGCCAGUGGAAGGGGCUGAAGCCCAAAAUAAUUAAGAACAAAUUAAACCUUCUCAUGAAUUUAUCUGUAAUCUGUGUCCUUUGAAGAAGCAAGACUGAGGUGCAGUUUAUGGGUGGUUUUAAUGGGAGUGGUUUCUUGUCCGACGUUCAAGCCAAAAGAGCGUAACUGUUCUGGAAAGGGAUCAUUUUAUGGAGUGCAAGGAGGCACCUCUAGAUUUUUGAGGAUUAUGUGCUGGAGCAUCUACCCUGAAAGGAAAACUUGCCACAUGUUCUCUAGCCCUGGUAGUGUAGUUCUGUAGCUCAGUUAAUGGAUACUCUUCCCUCCUGCCCUUCUGGAUUUGUGAGCCACUCCAUUAUUCAUUUUCCCCAGUGCUGCUGCUUCCCUGGUUUCACCACUGAGGGAGAGAGAGGAAUACUGGAGAACAGUGUCUUCCCGCACCCCCCAUACAGUAAACAUUGCCUAAAAAGAGUUUAGAAUUGACUCACAGUCAUGUCAGCGUUUACAGUGGAGCGAAUCCUAUCCCAGCCUGAAAGGAAAUUUAGUUUACUAAAAUGUAAAAAAACCAACAGUUACUGAACCUUUUUUGUGCAUUUGUAUUUAUUUUAAUUUUUGCAAAGCUCUCGCAAUCCCCCAGGGCAGCUGCGGGACAGAGCUCAGUGUCCCUCCGCUCCCUGUUACAUCAAAAAGCAUAAAAAUCAAGGACUGUCACAGUAAUCAGCUAGAGGCCCAUUCAGUAGGAUUCAUGAUUUUCAGUCAGCAUUUGAUUGGUGGGAGAGUUGUGAGGCAGCAGCACAGGGAGCGUAAUGGCAGGUGUCAUCAUCGAAGUCAGCCAAUCCGGUUUCGUCAGCGUUUGAGUUAGUAAUUCAUAAUUCUUAGUCCUGGGGAGAGAUGGCAAAUGGUCAUUAUGGUCCCAGUAACCCACAGGGAAUCAGACAAGAACCCUCCCGCACUCCCUGGAGGAGUUUAGUCCCUUUCUAGUCCCCUACGGCUGUGUGCGACCGCCAGCAUUCCACUUCCAGUAUUGUGCAUUGUACAGCAGUGCCCUUUACAAACUGCUAUUGAUGGCACUGGAUGGGGAAAUGAGGGAGGAGAGGGCCAGGGGAGACUUGGGAGGGCUGGAACUGAGCUCUUGGAUUUGUUAAAGGGAAGGGUAAUUUUGGAAAUUAAAACUUUCUUUCGGGGAUUUGAGCUGCCACUGGGAUUUAUGUGCUGGUUAUCACACACUCGUCAAAUCCCUGCCACUGUGUCAGUAUUUUCCCACACAGAGUUUAUUCUGUCUGCCACGGGAAUGCUGUUUCAAUGAGACAGCAUUGCACUUCCCAGCAUUGCAUUCAAUGGAGAGGGUGACAGGAGGAAAGGGGAAGAAGUCUUGUGUGCUUGAAGGGGGCAGCUCAGGGAUGUUGAGAGUAGCCCUCUGCCCUGCUCCUGAUCUGUGGUGCAUGAUCCUGGUGGUGAAGUGGCUCUCUCCUAGCAAUUCUUAACAGCUCCCUGCAUGGAGGCCAGGUGCCUUCUAUCAGGACCCACUGGGAGGGAUCUAACUAAUUACAGGUGAACUGGACCCAUUCCCUCUUACAUGAACCAGUCUUAAAUGAACACAGCCAUCAAAUGGGGAAGUUACCAAGGGACAAGAUGGAAUCUCCUUCACUCAAAGUCUGUCAGUCAACUCUUGGUAUAACAUGUGCAUAAGCAUCUAGGGGAUUUAGGAGUCCAAGUCCCACAUUCAAAAUUGACGGAGGCACUUAAGAGCCUGAGUCCUGGUGAAAGUCUGGGGAUAUGAAGUACCGAAGUCUUCCUCACUUUUGAAAAUGCAACUUACAGUCUUAACACAUGUAGGCACUGGUGAGGAUUUUGCCAGGAUAUCUUUCUUUUGGGUGUGCCCUAGCUCACCUAGAAAUCAUGGGCUAGUUGCAGGAAUGACUGGACGAAAUUCCCUGGACUGUGUUAUGCAGGAGGUCGGACUAGCUGAAUUGAAUGGUCCCUUCUGGCCUUAAAAUGUGUGAACCUAUGAAUUGUGCUAGUGGUGUUCUCUGUUAACAUAAAUUUGAGCCUGUCACUCCCCCAUCCUCUCUCUAACUGCCAGACAAGCAGGAAAAUAAUAUCUCAUAAAUGAAAAGGUAAAGCUUUGUUUCUGCUCGCUAGUUGUUACUCCUUGGCAUGGACUAAAGGCAGCAGCUGAAACAAACAGUUUCAUGCCAUUGGCAGAUGCUGCUGGGUGGGGGACCCUUCUGUGUCAGGGCUGGUGGGCAGCAGCAAGAGCGGGGGGCACUUUUUUCCUUUCACUGAGGUUGUACCAUGAAAUAUACUGAGGGUGCCUCCUUUAACUCAAAUGGCUCCAGUCUCCAUUCCCAUUAUGAGAGCUGCCAAGAUAAUGCAAGAGAUUCUCAAAGAGAGAGAACUUGAGAUACUCACCACAGAUCAUUGCCCCAUUAACCAUUUAGAGAGAAAAAAACAAGAAAGUUAUUUUUUUCCAUUGACUUCCUGUGACAUUGGAAUGAGGGUGGUUUGCUCCUAUCCCUGGCAGAAGCAGCUGAGGUGCUUGUGUCAUGGCAAACUUUGUUGUUGUCCCAGAGCUGCUACUGACUUCUGGUGUAGCCCAGGGAGUUUAGCACCUUUUGAAAUCGAGCCCCGGGCAUCUGUACUUGAAACCCUCAACUGUGAGACCCCUUAAAUGAGAGACAACUUUUCCUCCUGGUGGCCUAAAUGUGUAAGGGAAACGGCAUAGUAAGCUAACGUCAGUCAGUGAGGGCCUCUCUAUUUCUCCGGCACACAAACUUCUUAGAACCGAAUCUGUACACACCGAAUCUGAGAUUUGGACAAAAGUGGCUUUUAAUCUAUCUAAACACACGAAUAGAUGUAAAGAGUUUUCUUAAUAAGUGAGGAGAACCUUUUGUCCUCCUUUCUGCUCACUCAAACAAUCCAAACUCAGCUACAGGGAAUGGUAAAAGUUCACCUUUGGGCAAAGAGGAAAGCGCAGACAUAUCCAAUCCUAUUUCUGAGAGAGAAUCAUCAUUAUAAUAGCGAGUAUGUUACUCCUACCAUUACUUUCAUUGUUACCACCAGCAUUUGUACUGGCCCAGCGCUGCUUCCCUUUGGGCAAGGGACGGAGACGAGGAGAAUGGCAGCUAUAGAUUCAUCUUGACCGUCCCACCAGGUUAUAAAGCAACACCUGAAACUCCAGAUUUUGAAACAUGGGUGUGACACUCUAUACCUUGGGGGAGCAUCCUGUAACCCCCAUAUUCCUCAUUUUUAAAUAACUGUGAUCUUGCAUAUAAAGCAUGCCUGGUAAGGUAUCAGGGGAAAGGUUAUGAUCUGCUGAAAGACAUUGUUCUAUCUAAACAUGUGUAGCACCAAUGCAUAUGAAAUUAUAAGAAUUGUGUUGUAUGGUUUUCACUAAAAUAUGCUGUGGGGAAUUGCUCA